UACGGGGGGAGCAAGCGUUGUUCGGAUUUACUGGGCGUAAAGGGCGCGUAGGCGGUCAGCACAAGUCAGUUGUGAAAUCUCCGGGCUUAACUCGGAAAGGUCAACUGAUACUGUGCGACUAGAGUGCAGAAGGGGCAACUGGAAUUCUCGGUGUAGCGGUGAAAUGCGCAGAUAUCAGGAGGAACACCGAUUGCGAAGGCAGCUCGCUGGAACGUUACUGACGCUGAGACGCGAAAGCGUGGGGAGCAAACAGG
rnacentral:rRNA from 1 species